rnacentral:rRNA from 1 species
UCUGGCUCAGAUUGAACGCUGGCGGCAGGCCUAACACAUGCAAGUCGAGCGGGGUCAAGGUGCUUGCACUUUGACUUAGCGGCGGACGGGUGAGUAAUGCCUAGGAAUCUGCCUGGUAGUGGGGGACAACGUUUCGAAAGGAACGCUAAUACCGCAUACGUCCUACGGGAGAAAGCAGGGGACCUUCGGGCCUUGCGCUAUCAGAUGAGCCUAGGUCGGAUUAGCUAGUUGGUGAGGUAAUGGCUCACCAAGGCUACGAUCCGUAACUGGUCUGAGAGGAUGAUCAGUCACACUGGAACUGAGACACGGUCCAGACUCCUACGGGAGGCAGCAGUGGGGAAUAUUGGACAAUGGGCGAAAGCCUGAUCCAGCCAUGCCGCGUGUGUGAAGAAGGUCUUAGGAUCGUAAAGCACUUUAAGUUGGGAGGAAGGGCAGUAAAUUAAUACUUUGCUGUUUUGACGUUACCGACAGAAUAAGCACCGGCUAACUCUGUGCCAGCAGCCGCGGUAAUACAGAGGGUGCAAGCGUUAAUCGGAAUUACUGGGCGUAAAGCGCGCGUAGGUGGUUCGUUAAGUUGGAUGUGAAAUCCCCGGGCUCAACCUGGGAACUGCAUUCAAAACUGUCGAGCUAGAGUAUGGUAGAGGGUGGUGGAAUUUCCUGUGUAGCGGUGAAAUGCGUAGAUAUAGGAAGGAACACCAGUGGCGAAGGCGACCACCUGGACUGAUACUGACACUGAGGUGCGAAAGCGUGGGGAGCAAACAGGAUUAGAUACC